rfam:Eutrema salsugineum unplaced genomic scaffold scaffold_1, whole genome shotgun sequence.
GGCCAGUGAUGCAAGAAAAAUAUUUGCUACUCUUGAUGAAGAAUAUUCAGUUGAUGAUCGGUUAACCACCAAGAUCUCUGAGGCC